GACGAAGGGGGCUAGCGUUGUUCGGAAUUACUGGGCGUAAAGCGAGUGUAGGUGGUUUUCCAAGUUGGGCGUGAAAGCCUUGGGCUUAACCCAAGAAAUGCAUUCAGGACUGGAAGACUAGAGGACCGGAGAGGAUAGUGGAAUUCCCAGUGUAGUGGCGAAAUACGUAGAGAUUGGGAAGAACACCAGUGGCGAAGGCGGCUAUCUGGACGGUUUCUGACACUAAGACUCGAAAGCGUGGGGAGCAAACAGG
rnacentral:rRNA from 1 species